rnacentral:lncRNA from 1 species
AUAACCAUUCCUUUUCAGAGGGCUGUAUGCAGGCGGUGGAGAGCAGGAGCGCUCGGCCUGAGCAUUGUUCCUACAGAUUCUCCCUGAAGGAGCCUAGCCUGUGACCUCAAAUCAUGCUAGCCGGCAGCUCAACGUCGCUCUGCAAGGAGAACGAUGGCAGGUGGAUCACACAAUGCGUCCAAGAGGAACUGAAUGUUACGCUGGAUGCCAGCCGUCUGGUUGGCCUCAGGAUGGGGAUAGUUUGUGCCCAUGGAGCGUCAAUGAAACCAAAAAGGUCAGCAGGAGGCAACCAUGGAUGACCUGCCGCUCAUCUCUCGGCUGGCUGGCUAGAGACUGUAGUGCUUCACCCACAAUGGUAUGAGCGAGGGCUCCAUGAGCUCCUAAACCAUGCUAGGGAUUUUGAGGAAGGCAGGGAUGGUGAAUGAAGACUGAGAUAUCAGAAACCCAAGGCUCUACUGGGGGCCUUUUGCCUACUGAGUCCCUG